GGUGGCGAUAGCACAGACGACAUACCGGUUGUGAACAUUCCGGAAAAUUCCGUUCCUAGCCGGUGGUAUCACAAAGAAGCUAUUUCCGGGCUAUGGAAAAAGUGUACCCCGGCUGAAGGCGCUCUAAAAAACUAAUGAAAAAAGAACGAGUGCGACUGCAAAGCGAUCGAACCGAGCCGGGCUGUAUCGACCGUGCUCUGCUGGCGGAGUGCAAUCAGUAACUGAUUGUGUCACAGGAGGACAUCCGGCAUGGAGAGCUCGUGGUCGACAAAAAGAACUAAAAGCACGAAGUGCUCAGAAGGACGGGGACUACGGUGGAUUCCGAGCUGACAAUCGAUGCUUCAACAGGUUAGCGUUGCACAGUCAGUCGGGUUUUUGGAAUCAAGGACAUCAAAGCAGCUAGGAGCUAACCUUCUACUAUAAUUUCGGAAGCAAAGGUAACGAAAAGAGGAUCUGCCACUGUAAUGUGAGCAAAUAAUCCGGCUUUAUCGGAAAUUAUUACCUUCCUCCGCUGGAAGAUUCUUCAGUCACAUGUCGGGGCAAAAAACCAAAGGAUCGAAGCGUAAAAAAUCGCAGAAAAUCGUCUGUGGCAGCGGAAACUGCCAUUGAAAGGGCUUCGAAGGCUGACACUACAAGAUAGUAAAAUCAGAUGGCGGAAAUCGGUGGUGGUGGUGGUGGAACCAGUGAAAGGUGAUGGCGUGAUGGGAUCACCGUUUACCUCAAACCACCAACAACGAAUGUGAUCUACGAGAGUGUGACUAUUGAGGUGAGCUUGGCUGCUACGGAGAAUACCCUAAAGGUGGACGAUUAUUCCGGGUUGAAAGAAAAACAUAAGCCCUGUUCAACGACGUAGGUUGAACUUGCUCGAAGUUGC